UGGUGGAGUGAUUUGUCUGGUUAAUUCCGUUAACGAACGAGACCUCGACCUGCUAAAUAGUCUGGCAAAUUCUUCGGGAUUUGUACAGACUUCUUAGAGGGACUAUCGGUGUGUAACCGAUGGAAGUUCGAGGCAAUAACA
rnacentral:rRNA from 1 species